rnacentral:lncRNA from 1 species
UAUAAGUUCUAUUCAUUCUUUAAAAUAAUUAAUUUAAGAGUUAAGGAUGAUUUCUGAUAAAUCUGAAAAUAUUGCUGAUUAAUUUCUUUGGAAUUUUAUUUGUAUAAUUGAAAAUAAACAAUAUGCAUUUUCAGUGGGAUUGUACUGUUUAUUCAAAAACAUGUUUUAACAAUAAUCUUGGAAGAGGAGUGCUAUGUUGGGUUAUUUAACAAAGUAAAUAUAUCUUUAGAGAAUAAAAGAAUACAUGAACUGGAUUCAUAGGGAAUGAAUUCUACACUGGGUUACAGUGCUAUAGAACAUUCUUUAUUUCACAUAAUCAUAAUAUAGUAUCAUAUUUGUUAAAAAUGUCUGGUGACAUUAGGAAAGAUAAAAUGUUAGAGACUUAUUAUUCAUGCAUUUUGAUAAAUCAGUCAUGUGUUAACUUGAAUAAUUUCCUUUUGAUAUUACUAUCCUGGACCUGCCUAGUAGAAAGUUACAGGUGAUUAUAAUUUGAUGACAGUUUCCCUCAAAAAUUCCCAAACUGUUAUAACAGUUGGGAAUGUUUGAAAGAGAUUGUAUCAUCUGUAAUGUUAUAAUUGAGAAAUGAGAAAUAUAUAAAUUUGACAGGACUAGAAGAUAGCUUAUUUUGAACACUAGCAAGAUAUUAAAUGCAUCUGCACCAACAUCACUUUAUGUAAAUGAUUGUACGAGUAUAAUUUGAAUACCUAAUGGCAAAAUGUGAAGAUUGUUAGGCAUUGCAAAUUACAAAAGGAAAGUUUAGUAGGAAUCAUUGAAAGUCACCAGUAUACAUGUGUAAUCGAGACCAAGAUAACAAAGGUAUCUAGUAUCUACCUAUAUACAUACCAAAAAAUGUAUUAAAUCUUAUUUACAACAAAUACAAAUAUAUACAUAUAUAAUUUCAUCAAAAUCAGUUGAAUGAUAUGAUAUAUAGAAGAGUUCAUGCUGAAAGGAUCUCCUGCUCCCUUCACUUUAGUCCCAUUAGACUGAAUUUUUCAGAAAGCCUUUAAUAACAUAAGUAGCGUAUACAUUCGAGAUUUAUUUGAAAUCAAUUGAACAGUGUGACAUAUAGAGAUAUUUCUAGAGAAAAAAAUCAUUUUCUUUGUUUGCCAAAAUGUAGCAGCUAAUUUAAUUUAUAUGGCAGUGUAAACAUAAUUUAUUUUGUUGUAUGAUCAAUCAUUACAGUUUUAUUUAAUGCAUGAUUUGCUACUAAUGCAGUCAUAAUUAAUAAAAAAAAAUGACAAGAUAAAAAAAAAGAAAAUAAAUAUGGCUAGAUAAAAUAACUUCCUAGGUUCUGAAACAAGAACUGAUCACUGAUUAAACAAAUAAUGUUAUAAAUAGAUCCAGGAAUGUGAUAUCAAAAAGGAGAAGGUGAGAAUUUUCAGGCAAAAGUUGUUAGUGGAAUGGAAUGUAGAGGUUGAAGGUUGGAGUCUCAACUCUGGGAAAGAGAGAGAGAAAAUCCAGUUCUGAAAAAAGCAGUUGAGGUUUCAGUUCAGAGAAAGAGAGUUGGGUUUUUUCAGCUCAAGAAAGAAAUGAUUGGACAUUCAGUUGAAGAAAUGCAAGAAAAAAAGAAGAAGAAGAAAAUAAAUUGCUUGUUCACCAGCUCUUCUCCAGAGUAAAUACAUAUAUAGGAACUACAGUAGUGAUCAGAGAAUAAGCCAUCUGAUGGUUUCCUGAUUUUAUAAGUCAUCUUUAAUUCUACUCCUCUGGUCUCAAUUAGAUCCAAAUUUCAUCAAUGACAAAGAUAUUUACCAGUUGUCAGAGCUCUCUAUGUUUAACAUAAGAAAAAAGAAAAAAAGAAUUAUAAAGAAAUCUCUCUCAAUGCGAGAUAUGUUGGUACCAGAUAAAUGCAUGUUUUUAGUGUUUUAAGUUGUGUUGUCUCAGUCAUUGAUGUGCAUCUUCUGAUUCCUUCCAUCCAUAUUUGCAGAACCUUCAUAUAUUACCUACUGAGUCUGACCAGCAGACAGACAACUAGAGAGGACAUGCUUUUAAAACAUUUGGUGUCAGAACUGGCAACAUUAAAGUCUCUUAACUUUGAGUUCUAUAAGGACCAGAUAGCUCAUCAGGACUCUGCCUUGACCUGCAGGAUCUCCACAUAAGUUAAAAUAGACAAAAAUGUGAAAACAACCCUUGUAUACAUAUUGUAUUAAUAGCGAAACAUACCUAGCUGGCUGUCUGGAUAUGUGGAUAUCUCUUUUGCAGUCAAAUCACUGUACUGAUCCCUAUAGAUAGAAUAUUGUCAGAAAGGAUUAAUCUUCAGAUUUCUGUGACAGUCAAAAUUUUUUUUGUCAUUAUUACUAAUUUAAAAUUUUAAGGAAUAAAAAUUAAUAUUGUAGUCUAUAUUACUGCCAAUAAAUAGAGUAAAAUAAUGCCAAUGUUGCCACAGUGUUGAUUCAUUGCGAUGUCACACAUUACAUCAGUAGUUUGUGAUAUCAUUGUGACGUGCCCCGGCCAUCUGCCGAGAACCCGUCGGAAGUUCGGCCCCGGUCCCCCACGACGCUGGUCCGGCGCUUAAUCUUAACAUUAAUGUCCAACUCUGUUUCUCGUAACCAACGAAAAAUGUAGUCCACCACACCAAAACAGUCCAUGUUAACUUGGUUAGGCAAAACUUUAUUAAUGAGAUAUAAAAUAACGUUAAUUCGAAUAAUAAACAUAAGAUUUCACUAAACAACAUAUAAAAGGGUUAGCUGACGAUAAAUCACAAGGACACUGGUUAGUAGCGACGUCGUGAUGAUAAUGGAUGAUGUACGGCACCUACCGACAACUUAAAUAGGUAGGUUCAUUUACAUAAUGAACGUAAUACAAU